UGUAGACUGUAAUAAAUAACCAUCAAAAGCCGAGGAACCAGAACAGAAAACGGUCCUGGAAAUAACAAUGGGGAAUAGCACUUCCUCUGCUUCCUCUGCUUCUCUGCUCAGUCAAUACCAAGAGUACCUGGACAGAGCUGCAGGUCUGAACAGCACAGAGGAUCAUGCUCUCCUCUCCCUCCCUAGCUCCUAAAUUUAGUAAGAUAUCUGGCUUAUAUUCAGCAAUUCUUUUACAGCAACACUUUCCAGGAGUUGAAGUCAAGAUUUUCGAUGCCAGCGACAAAGUAUAUGGGGUUCUGUGUACACUUGACUUACCAAUUCUCGUCUGAGCCGAAUCAGUAUAUUGUGAAGCUGGGGCUAUGAGAAUUCCAUGCAUCGAUAGUCACUGACCUGUGUUUUAACUCAUUGACUUUCUCAACAUCCAGGCGAUCAUAUGGAACUGAUGGAUUUCAGUGGGGAACCGAGUUUUUGUCAACAGAACAAUGGUUGCAUUUAAUAUGUCUGCUAUAAGUACGCUGCUGAAAACUACAAGGAGCUGGGAUUUCCGGAAGAUGCUGUUGCUAAUGGAGAAACGAAUCAGUAUUAUCUUGAAGCACUGAAACCCCUCUCUGCCGGAAGCAUUUGAGGACAAUUUUGAAGAAGCUUUGAUGAAAUACCAUGCAUGACAUGUAUAUUGGAGUUCCAACUAUAAUUAUGUUGAAGUUUAUGUGUUGUCAGAGCGACUUGCGACUUGCGUUAUAUGGGCUGUUGGAAGUGUUCUUCUUUGAUGGUAUUUUCGAUUUCCAUGCAGCUAACAUGGUCAAUGGAGGUAUGUCUAUAAGCUCCCAGAAUUGUGUGCUGAAAAUUUUGUGCAGAAGCCGUUCAAAGAUAAAAUUGAGAGAUUCUCAAAAGUCGAGUCGCUAUGACAGUCAAAUCAAAGAAGAUGUUCUGAACCUUUGCAAAACGAAUGAUCUGAUCUACGAAGAAUUGGACACUCUGUGAUUAUGGCUGUUUGUUGCCUUUGUUUCGUCUGCAGAUAAUACUUGUAAUUGAGGCCGGAAAGCAAGCAGGAGCUCACAAAAGGAGACAGGUGUGGGCGUGUACGAGGAUUAUGAGCCACUGCCAUGUAUGGUGUGUGUAGUCUCUAUCAUGCACUUGUCUCAGGAAAUGGCCUUGUGGUGAGUAAUACCAAUAUUCAUUAGGACAACUGAGCUCUGUUCAAUUUCUUCUAUGCAUCAUUAUUGUCGUAGCUCUAACUGUUGGGGUGUAUUCCUCCCUCCAUGCAUGUAACCUGGUCCUGGAGACUGGAGAGGGUCUGUCGUUCCUCAUGCACACGUCUCACAUAGUCAAGACAACACACUCAGAAGAUCAUAUUUAUACUGCCGGGAAGAUUGAUAUUCACAAGAAAAGAGCAUCUCGUCGGCAAAAGGAGAAAGAAAAGAAAAAAAAAGAGAUAUAUAGUGAAAGAGGAGCCACCGCAAGAGGACUCGUGGGUGUAGCUCAUUCUGUGUGUCUAAUUCAAACUCAACAGUAACUAUUUUAGGAUGCAAUGUCACCCCCUUUUUGUGCACCUUCUGACCAGCUUACAUUCAACCACGUUCUAAUAAUUCACUGUAUGUAUAAUUUUAUGACAUGUAUUUCAUCAAUGCUA